UGAAUACGAGACGCUAAGGCGUCGAAGUAGUGUAUGUCAUACUUCCAAGAAAAGCUUGCUCUGUCAUAGAUAAAAAACGCCUGUACCAUAACCGACACAGGUGGGUAGGUAGAGUAUACUAAGGGGCGCGAGAUAACUCUCUCUAAGGAACUCGGCAAAAUAACUCCGUAACUUCGGGAGAAGGAGUGCCUUAUUCGUAAGGUUCAAUAACAAGAUCCAAGCAACUGUUUAUCAAAAACACAGGUCUCCGCUAAGUCGUAAGACGAUGUAUGGGGGCUGACGCCUGCCCAGUGCCAGAAGGUUAAAGAAGUUGGUUAGCAAUUGCGAAGCUGAUAACUGAAGCCCUGGUGAACGGCGGCCGUAACAAUAACGGUCCUAAGGUAGCGAAAUUCCUUGUCGGGUAAGUUCCGACCCGCACGAAAGGCGUAAUGAUUUGGAUACUGUCUCGGAGAGGGGCUCGGUGAAAUAGACUUGUCUGUGAAGAUGCGGACUACCUGCACCAGGACAGAAAGACCCUAUGAAGCUUUACUGUAACUUGAAAUUGAAAUUGGACUUUAUUCGCGCAGUAUAGGUGGGAGGCGUUGAUUAUAAUCUUGUGGGAUUAUUGGAGCCAUCAGUGAGAUACCACUCUUGUAAUGUUAGAUUUCUAACUUUGAAUCAUUAUCUGGUCAAAGAACAGUUUCAGGCGGGCAGUUUGACUGGGGCGGUCGCCUCCUAAACGGUAACGGAGGCGUACAAAGGUUUCCUCUGAACGGUUAGAAAUCGUAUCUAGAGUGUAAAGGCAUAAGGAAGCUUGACUGUGAGACCUACAAGUCGAGCAGGGACGAAAGUCGGUCUUAGUGAUCUGACGGUACUGAGUGGAAAGGCCGUCACUCAACGGAUAAAAGUUACUCUAAGGAUAACAGGCUGAUCUCCCCCAAGAGUUCACAUCGACGGGGAGGUUUGGCACCUCGAUGUCGGCUCAUCGCAUCCUGGGGCGGUAGUACGUCCCAAGGGUUGGGCUGUUCGCCCAUGAAAGCGGUACGCGAGCUGGGUUCAGAACGUCGUGAGACAGUUCGGUCCAUAUCCGGUGUAGGCGUUAGAAUAUUGAGAGGAGCCUUCUUUAGUACGAGAGGACCGAGAAGGACAUACCCCUGGUGUACCAGUUAUCGUGCCAACGGUAAACGCUGGGUAGCUAUGUAUGGAGUGGAUAACCGCUGAAAGCAUCUAAGUGGGAAGCCCACCUCAAGAUAAGUAUUCUCAUC
rnacentral:rRNA from 1 species